rnacentral:rRNA from 1 species
ACUCCUACGGGAGGCAGCAGUGGGGAAUAUUGCACAAUGGGCGCAAGCCUGAUGCAGCGACGCCGCGUGAGGGAUGACGGCCUUCGGGUUGUAAACCUCUGUUAGCAGGGAAGAAGAGAGAUUGACGGUACCUGCAGAGAAAGCGCCGGCUAACUACGUGCCAGCAGCCGCGGUAAUACGUAGGGCGCGAGCGUUGUCCGGAAUUAUUGGGCGUAAAGAGCUUGUAGGCGGUUUGUCGCGUCUGCUGUGAAAGGCCGGAGCUUAACUCCGUGUAUUGCAGUGGGUACGGGCAGACUAGAGUGCAGUAGGGGAGACUGGAAUUCCUGGUGUAGCGGUGGAAUGCGCAGAUAUCAGGAGGAACACCGAUGGCGAAGGCAGGUCUCUGGGCUGUAACUGACGCUGAGAAGCGAAAGCAUGGGGAGCGAACAGGAUUAGAUACCCUUGUAGUCCUAUC